CUCUCGCCCGCACUCACCCAGCUGGGGAUUUGCCCAGCUGUUAUUUCUGAGCUGGGGAAACUUCGGGAUCGUUAAAACAAGAUGGUGAGAUCCCAAGAGCAUGGGCCGGUGUGUGCCAGUCCGAGCCCCACGAAUUUUCCUGCAGAGGGGGAAGCCAUCUUCAAGGCCACCUGUUUUGGAAGACAGCAGUGUUCAUCUCCACCCCUGCUCUACUGGGGUUUGGAGCUGCCUGCCCUAGAUCUAGCAUCUUCCUAGCACCUGGGUCUGACCAGGCCCCCCUCCUUUGCUCUCUCUGGCCUUAUUGAACAGCCGGGCCUUCUCUCUGCACCUGGUGGAAAACGCACACCUCUGGCUUUCCUGUAUGUUUCUGUCUCUUCGGAAGCCAAGAAGCAGACCUGUGUUCCUGCCCUUGGGGAGCUCAAGUGUUCUCCCCUGCACAAGACUGUGAGGGAACCCUGGCCACACCUGCCGCUGGAGGGAAAGGAAGAGUCAUCGGACCUUGCUUUGAACUUGCCAUGGGAUGCUUAAAGGAUUCAAAGUGAAAGGCUGGGACAGGAGAGGACAGGCUGGCCUCUCUCAGGAUUGGAUUUGGAAGUCAAGUGCCAAGAGAAAGCUCUUUGGGAAAACCAGGGUUUCAGUCAAGACUGCUCUGCCGUUGUGCCCCACCCUGCCUUCCUCAUUCUCUUUGAAUCUUUCUUUGUCCUUGCUUCUAUCUCCAGGUCUCUGUGCCGCUAUUGCCUUGCUUUCUACUCAAGGCAGCCUCAAACGAUGUUGGGAUCGACAAUUCUCCCACAACUGGGUGAUUGUGUAGACCCAGCCUUGGCACAAAGAACAUUCUUCCACCCCCCGUGGCCAGACCCACAUCUAAGACUGUAUCAGCGCCUUGUCAGGACAAAAGACUGGCCGGCUAACUCCCAGGGAUCCAUUUCCCAGGCUGACACUGGCAAAUUCCUGUCAGCGUCAGCCAUCAACUGACCUGGAGAUGCUAACCUGUCGCCAUUCCCUCACAUUCUGGAUUAUGCCGAAAUGAAGCACCCUUAGUCCAAAGCCCCUAAGUCUGUUAUCAGCUGGCCUCACAGUCCCAGGACAGCAGCUCUUCCUGCCCACGGGUCCUGCCCCAGUGCUUUCAUGAAGCCACCUUUUUGCACCGAGGAUGUUUUCAGCUUUCUCGGCAAGGCACUGGGUGUUCUGUGCAACUCAUGAA